AUCCUUGUGCAGAUCUCUACAAAUUUUUAUUCUCCAAAUAUGAAUGUUGUCAAUGAGAACUUCCUCCCUCUGCUCAAACGCCUUGAUGACUGCAUAGCGUAUGUAGAAAACAAUCCAUAGUAUGCUGAAUCCGGCGUUUACUUACUCAAAUUUCGACAACUGCAGUCUCGAGCAUUGGGUAUGAUUCGCUCUCAUGUACUUUCUGUACUCAAAAGUGCGUCUUCUCAGGUUCAGUCAGCAAUCUGGAGCAAUAGCAGCAGCAAGGCAUCUCUUGUUGAGGGUGUAGAGGCAUCUGUUAUAUAUGUUCGUUUCAAGGCAGCGGCAAGUGAGGUUCAUGCGGCCAGAAACUGCACAGGGCAUAUUUGUUAACUUCAAAGACUUGUACUAUUACAAUGGGAACAAGC